GACGAACGCUGGCGGCGUGGAUUAGGCAUGCAAGUCGGACGGUAGGGCUUUAUCGUAAGAUAGAGUUUGAGAGUGGCGAACGGGUGAGUAACACGUAGGAAUCUACCCUUAAGACGGGGACAACCCAGGGAAACUUGGGCUAAUACCGGAUGAGAGUGCGAGAGAUUGCAUUUAAAAGGAUGGCGAAAGUUGUCGCUUAGGGAUGAGCCUGCGGUCUAUUAGUUAGUUGGUGAGGUAAGAGCUCACCAAGGCGAUGAUAGAUAGGCGGCCUUAACGGGUGGUCGCCCACACUGGGAUUGAGAUACGGCCCAGACUCCUACGGGAGGCAGCAGUCGAGAAUAGUCUACAAUGGCCGGAAGGCUGAUAGUGCGACGCCGCGUGAACGAGGGAGCCCUUCGGGUGUAAGCUCUUUCGGCUGGGAAGAAAUCGCAUCUCCUAAUACGGGGUGUGGAUGACGGUACCAGCAUAAGAAGCACCGGCUAACUACGUGCCAGCAGCCGCGGU
rnacentral:rRNA from 1 species